rnacentral:lncRNA from 1 species
AUUCUUUUUUUUUUUUUUUUUUUUUAGAUUUUAAAGAGACACCUGUAAUCCCAGCACUGAGGAAGGCUGAGGCAGGAGGAUCAUUGUGAGUUCAAGACCAGCCUAGACUACAAAGUGAGUUCAAGACCAGCCUGAACUGCAGAGCAAGCUCUCAAGUGUCUGGUGUAGAGUCACCACUGCACACCCUGCCUUUCUUGUCCCAUUUUCUUGUUUUAUACAUGCACCCAGGUCCGGUACGCUGUCCUCUCAUGGAGAUGGAAAGAAAUCCUAAGUGUGGGCAACUCAAGGGAAACAGAUGCUUGUGCAAAGAUGUCACCUCACUGGCUAAAUUCCAGCAGACUCUUCAACAGUUAACAGAAGCUCAGCCUAAAGAGAAGGGAAAUCCCAUAUUCCGCCCCAGAGACUUGGCAAUGGUGAAGUCUCUCCCCUCACCAUCUGCUUCCCUAGGACCAACUUGGGAAGGACCGUACAGCGUGAUCCUGUCGACUCCAUCAGCUGUCAAGGGAGCAGGCCUGGACUCCUGGGUACACCACACCUGGCUCAAGUCCCGGGAACAAGAGACUGUCAUCGAGUCUGUGAGCAGCCAUCCUUAGAAUACUCCUGUGAGCCCAUAGAAGACUUGAAAUUCUUUUUAAAAAAUAUUUUACUAUUUAUUUUUAAAUUUUUUUUUACUGGGAAUCAAACUCAGAACUUUUUGCUUGGCAAGCAAGGUGCCGUGCCACUGAGCUAUAUCCCUGGCCCCUUGUUUUUCAGGUUUAAAGAGAAAAAAAUAAAACAAUAUUUCAAAACAAGAUAAUAGGAGGGUAACAAUGGUUGAUACAUUGUGCACUGUUAUCUUUAAAUUAGUUACUCAGAGUACAAGAUAUCAGCAUUUAAUUGUCCAAACAAUAUUAGCACAAGCCUUUCUUUUCAAUGAACUAAGAGAAAUUAGUAGUAUAA